rnacentral:misc_RNA from 1 species
AAGUCGUAACAAGGUUUCCGUAGGUGAACCUGCGGAAGGAUCAUUACCGAGUUAGGGUCCUCUGGGCCCGAUCUCCCAACCCUUUGUUUAUUAUACCUUUUGUUGCUUCGGCGAGCCCGUUGUCUCACGACGACCGCCGGAGGACCGCUUAACGGCGUCCUCUGGUCCGCGCCCGCCGAUGGCGCCAAAAUCUCAAAAUUCUUGUAUGAAUCGUGUCUUUACCUAAGUCUUGAUUUAAUCAAAAACAAAACUUUCAACAACGGAUCUCUUGGUUCUG